ACGUGACGAUAAAUUUCAUUAUUAUUAUUAUUAGUCCGGAGCAUAACAUAGGUAACAAAGUAUCAUUAAUAAAGAACUUAAACUUGAAGUGGAAAUUUUGAAAAUUAUCGCUUUGAAAAAUAGAAAUGGAAGAAGAGGAAUAUCGUCAAAGGAAUAUUGUCAAAUGAAAAACGUUUUGUUUCGCUAGGAUUACAAUUAGAAUUAAAAUGUGUUGCGGCACAUUGUUUUGUUUAACUCUCGUGUCGUUUCGUAAUAUCUUUCAAUUAUCACAAUUUACAAUUAUGUACAUUGUCACGUCAACUUGUUUGGCGAUGACCUGAAUUGAUACGUCUCUCAUUGAUUUAUUAACACAACACUUUGUUGCAAUUUACUGUUAAUACGGGCAAUUAAUUUAUUACUCGAGGGUAUUCUUAGAAAAUAGAAAAAACGAUAAAUUGCAUUCUUAAAAUUAAUUAUUGAGAUAUUAAUUAUUGGUAUUACAGAUACAAAUUUUGAGAUGCUAAAGAGACUGCGUUAUAAUUCCUGAAUUACUUGUUUCAGAUUAUUCAAUAUCGUUCGAAUUGUUCAUACUCCAUCAAUACGUAUAUUGUAACGUAACUAAUUUUUAACGUAAGAUACUAAUUGGCAACGUUUCUAUCAUUCAGGACUUAAAACAUCAUCAACACUAGUAACGAUAUUUAUCACGAAAUAGAAGCAAACUGUUAUUAUAAUUAUCUAUCGAUAAAAGUUCAGGGUUAACAAUUUCGAAAAAAAACAGCAAUAAAUGGCUAAUGAAUAGAAAUAGGACUAUUCUUACGUUACAACGAAAUAUAUCUGUCAGCAUAAAGAAAGAACAGGAUCGAAAUUGCCAAUAAAUCGCUUAUACGAAGCAGUUCGUGUAUCGGAAUCAGAACGAAUUUCACUGAAACGACGAGCAAUAAACGAUGAACUCGUGGAAGGAAAGGAGCGUGUUGCUCGUGUCGCGGCUGCUUGGGCCAUUGUGGUCCCAGCUAUCGAUCGCGCAAAUCAAGACUCUUAGUCUACGGCUGAGCUCGGAUAACCAAGUUAUCGGGGCGCAGUAAAUCGUUGCCAAGAAGAUAAAAAGAAAAGUAAAACGAAAGAAAAAUACGACCGCUAGAAGAAAUCGCCGCGACGAGUGUGCAAAUUGCUUAGUGUCGUCAAACGAACAACUCUAUACGAAUAAAAUAAUGUCAAAGGGAGUAAAAGAAAAGAAUGAAAUAAUAACACGUGUAUGUGAAGAGAAAUGGGGUCGCGCGAGAAAGAAAGGGUGAGAACGAAUGAGAAACGACGUUUGUUAUUCAGUAUAGUUGUGACAAUUACCGCGGAUGGGUUUAUAGAAUGACCAACCAUCGAGAACUGCUGAGACAAAGCUUAAACGUCCAGACCGGAACCGUUUACGAAGUUGCGAAGUUCGAUCAAAUUGCCGCAAGUUAACCUGACCAAAGAACGAACGAAACUGAAAUUAAAGAAAAAACGAAAUAAAAAAGAAAGACAGAAAAAAAGAUUGAUUAAUGACAUACUAUAUAUAGUAUUUAUAUAUAGUAUCUAAUUAUUAUUAUUAUAUAUAUAUAUACAUAUAUAUAUACACAAUGUGCUCGUCUAAUGAUCGUUUUAAUAAUAACAAUGAUAUUCAUAUCGGAGAGCAAUGACCAAUCACGAUGUAACAUUAUACAUGGCUGUUUUUUCCCUUUGCUUUUACGUUGUUCUUCGUGCAAACCCUUCAAGAUCCUUCCUCCUUCGCGAUCGAUGGUCUUUGUUAUAUCUUCGUCACGUUUGUAAUUUUUGUUCUGUUCUUUCUUUUUUUUUUAUUGUUGGAGCGCGUUCGGUGUCGAAUCGUUCGAGUUUUUCAAUAAAAUGUUUCUCGUCGACAUUUCAGUGAGCAGAAAUUUGAUGAUAUUUAAAAUUCUCUCGUGUUUGAUUCUUCGUGCUUUGACGCGUUCGCAAGUUUGAAUUCGAAAUACCCGGGAUUUUGUAGCGACUGUUGUUUCUGUUUUUUUUUUUUUUUUUUUUUUUUUUUAGGAUAGGCGUUUCAGACUUUUCUGUAAUUUUGUAUUUGUUAAAAUAUAUCGGGAUUUUCCUGGCGCUUCAGUUUAUCUGGGAAACGCCGCAGUAUUAUGUUUUGUUAGUAAAAACGUGGCGAAAUAUAAACGACAUUUCGACAUUCGUGGGAACGAUAGAACUUUGACAUUUUAUACAAUUCAUUUCUUCGGAACUGUCCAAUUUUUUAAUUUAUGUAUUCGGUCAAUUCUGGAAACUAUUUGAAUUGCAAGUGCAUAUAUAUGUCUUAUUUUUGUUUCUUGUUCAGGAUACGAAUAGGCAAUUUUUUAUACGCGACUAUUAUUCAAUUAUUUCUUUCUUUUUUUUAUUUUGAAAUAUCGAACGACGUGUUUCGAAAAAGAGCACGAAUUUUAUCAUCUAUUUGUUUUCAUAUACAAUAUCGCGUUUAAAAUUCAAUUAUUUCAUGAAAUAAUUAAUCAUAAUAUUUGUCAUAUCGAAGGCCAUGUUUUAAGCGUAGAUAAGUUUUUUUAUGCUCUAACCGAAACGAAAACGAAGAAACUUCAAUAAAAAAUAAAACAAAAUUACCAAACGAA